AGUUUCUGAUGUACAAUAACAAAUAAAAGAAAAAAAGUUUUAUAUUAUUUCGAUACCUUAGAAAAAGGAAUUCAUACACGCAAGGCAAAUUUUAGUAGUUACAAAUUCCGAAACUGUCCACUUGAAGUUUGCUCUUGUAAACUUUGUUCAGCAUAAUAUGAUCAGAUCGUAAGAUAUGCAAGAAGCAACAUACCUCGAGUUUUUCUUGGCGUUCUGCAAGCUUGUUCCUUGCCUCUGCAGCUGCUGAAAAUGCAUCCUGGAAGGAAUGAUAAUGUUAGAAAAUGUACUGCAGGAAUGUAAAGAAUUUAUCAAUAGUUUCCAGGAAAUUACCCCAGAACAUUGAAAAUGUGUGUAUGCUAAAAGGUCAGAAAAUCGAUGCAAAAGAUGGGAGGAAUAUUUAGCAUACCUUUCUCAUCAUUCUUGCUCUUUCGAGAUGAAGAUGAGACAACAAGAGGUUCAUCAAUCUUGAUGUCAUCUGCACCAGAUAAAUUAUGAAGUCAGAAAAGGUGAGGAAGAAAUGGGACACAGGAGGACAAUCAAAGCAAGAGAUAGUGAAUAAUGAACCUAAGUUAAGCUCCACGACAUUUUGGUCAUCCUUGGAAGGCUUUAAGAAUGGUGGAUAAGAAAAUAUGGUAUCUAGGUGGUCACAAUUAUGGAUACCAACUUCAGGGCCAGGCAAAUCCACAUUGUGCUCUUUAAACCUUUGAAGCCCUUUACAAGUCCACUGAAAAAUGCAGGGACAGUACCCUGUUGCCACAGAAACUAAGCUUGAAAAUCUGACUCAUUUAUAAAAGUGAAAACAGAGAUCCUAAGGAUGAACCUCUACUUUCUUCUGACUUGGAAUAUAUUGGCAGGAUUGGCAGAAGCUGCAAGGACCUUAUCGUGAAGACAAGGCAAAGACUCUGGAAUCCUGAGACCAGGCAAUGAUAAUAUGAAAAUUAGAAGGAGCUUCACCUUGCAGUUAUCGUUAAUACUGAUAUUCUGAUGAUAAAAUAGUGCAUGCACAUAAAGAGAAGGGGUGGAGAAGAUUGAGAGAGAGAGAAACCUGACAUCAUUUUCAGAAGCUAACAAUGAUAUGAAAGCAAAUUCAUACCCAUUUAUCUGCAGAAAUUUGUAACUCAUUUUAGAAAACAUAACUCCAAGCUACAACUUGGCGGUGAAUAAUAGAUCAAGAAGCCCUCAACACUUAAAGAAAAAAUAAAAAAAUCAAAACAGUUCUGUUGGAAGACUAUCUGACAUGAUUUCACCAUCAGAGCAAGUAAAAACAAGGCAAUAAACAAAAAUCACAGUGUGGAUGUGAAUGUAGAAAAUAUACAGAUGCCACAAAUAGAGAGAUGAGCUGACAAAGUUAUAAAUGAAAAAAGAUAAAAGCAA